UACGGAGGGUGCAAGCGUUAAUCGGAAUUACUGGGCGUAAAGCGCGCGUAGGCGGCUUGUUAAGCCAGAUGUGAAAGCCCCCGGGCUUAACCUGGGAAUGCAUUUGGAACUGGCAGGCUAGAGUACAGAAGAGGGUGGUAGAAUUUCCUGUGUAGCGGUGAAAUGCGUAGAUAUAGGAAGGAAUACCAGUGGCGAAGGCGGCCACCUGGUCUGAUACUGACGCUGAGGUGCGAAAGCGUGGGGAGCAAACAGGAUUAGAUACCCGCGUAGUCC
rnacentral:rRNA from 1 species